rnacentral:rRNA from 1 species
UACGGAGGGUGCUAGCGUUGUUCGGAAUUACUGGGCGUAAAGCGCGUGUAGGCGGACCCAGAAGUCGGGUGUGAAAUCCCUGGGCUUAACCCAGGAAGUGCGCCCGAAACCAUGGGUCUGGAGGUCCGGAGGGGAUCGGGGAAUUCCCAGUGUAGAGGUGAAAUUCGUAGAUAUUGGGAGGAACACCGGCGGCGAAGGCGCCGAUCUGGACGGAUCCUGACGCUAAAACGCGAAAGCGUGGGUAG